UCCCCACAGCUGCCUCUCAUCAAGGCUCCUUGAAAGACUCAGAGCCCUCCAGCAGGAACCCUGACCACAUCUACAUUAGAAACAGAGCUCCUGACCAGCUGGAACAGACUCCUUUUGGAAUGCCAGACAGGAAUAAGUGACAGAGGGGUGAUGCAUCUUCACAUUUUGAAAGGAUUGCUCCCUUCUCGGCGGGGCUGUCACUGCCGAGCGUGGCCUCGUGGUGGGAGCUGCGAGGUGAGGGUUUGGAUGGCAGCGUGACGCAGCUGUAUCUGCAGAGCCACGAUGGCACCACUCAAUGCCGUUCAAAAGACCGAUGUGCUCUUCCAGCCAACACUGCGUGCUCUUCUUUGCUUGGAGCACGUGGGCAGUCUGUACAAAGCCCAAACCCUGCUCAAGUCCCACACCUGGAGAAUGCCCCAGGGAAAUGCUCGUGUUUCAGCAGCGCGACCACCCUUCAGAAAGAAAUGGUGUUUGGGAACAAACCUGCAUUUGGAUGGUUUUGUAAAAGGAGUGCUGAAAAAAAAACAAACAAGGAAAGCUUUCCUGCAAAGAGCAUAUGCUGCAGCUUCCUGAAACAAGAGCCCGGCUCUGGUGAGGAUUCUGGCAGUUUAGAGCCUUUCAAUAUUAAAGGACUCUCUAGCAGAUUAGAGUGGCAUAAUAAAAGCUAAUAAAAAUGAAACUGGACAAAUUCAGUGAAGAAAUUAAGACAUACGUCUUUAACAACAAUAGAAUUAAUCACUGAACAGUAGAAUUAAGACACUGGAAUGGGCUCCAAAGGGAUGUGGCAAAUGCACCUGAAGCUGCAGCCCCUGAGCACAGAGCUUCACCCCACCUGGCCUCCCCAGGCACCACUGCUGCCCCUUUCCCUACUGAGAGAUGGGAAAAACAGAGGAAGGAAACAAAUUGCUCUCCUGCACCAAGGUUCUCUCUGCUUUUGUCUCUCAGAUGCAAUGUAUAAAAUGAUGAAGUACAUCCCAGCUCGCCUGCACGCUGGCUGUGCUGUGCCCCACUGGUAAUGCAAGCAGCUACUUGAAUUUACAGCUGCGUCACAUGGCCGGAGCGGAAUGCAGCAGCCAGGGCAAGCACUGCAUACAGCUGGAACUACUGACACACAUCUUAACCUAGGGAAGGCUUUUAUUGGGCAUGAAGCGGCAUCUUUUACACUAGGAUGUAUUUUUACAUAUAAUUUAGGCCAGCAUAAAAUCUCACUGUUGUAGAAUGAAAUUUCCAUUGCUCACUAGGAAAUCCUUCCCUGCUGCGGGAAGCAGCCCACCGGCCCUGGACUAAGUUGUAUGUAAAAGCUCAGGGCUUUAAAUCAGAUAUGCCUUCCAUCAGGGAAGGGAAAGACUGGCCUCAGGGAGCAGGUCCCAGCUCCUGGGUGUCUGGGAAGGAGCUGGAAAGGAGAAGGGGCUCAUCUCCCUACCCUGCAUUUGCUGCAGCUUCUCUGCCCUUCUUUGCAGAACUGUUCUGAUCAGUUCAGAUUACUCUAAGCCAGCUCCUGAGAUGGCACAGGAUGUACGGUGCCACAGGAAUGCCUGGGGAUCUGUCUUGUACAACUGUGGUAAAGAUCAUUUUGUGUCUUAGGAGAUUUUGAGUAGAGGUUUUGAGUUUUGAAUACCAAGGUGAGCUGCAAUAAUUUAGGGUUCUUUACUUGCCUUUAGAAAUUGCGUGUUUUAUUACAUCGCUCUACCUCGAAAGCUGUUGUCCCUUUUGUAUUCAUCUCAGAAUUGAAGGAUGGGGAGAGUGCUGGUUAAAUCAAAUGUGAAUGUGAUGGCCACAGUGCUUUCUUUCAGUCUCUUUUGUGGUGUUCUUCAUGUAAUUAAAAUACAAAGCAGAAAUUAGUGAAAACAAAACAACUCUUGAAGAAGAUAGCUUCCUGCUAAUAUCCCAUGGAAACAAAAACAGAAAAAAACACAGGAUGAUGGUUUUCUGGAUUUGUGAAUCCUGGAAGGUACCAGAACUAUUUGGAGUGAACCAGACCAGGCACCCAUGCAGCCCUAUGAGCUGCUGCAGCCCUGCACGGUGCGGGAGAAGGAGCAAAAAACAGCAAGGGCUGUGAGGGCUGUGCUGCUCUCAGCCUGACCACUAUGAGUUAAAGACCCAAAGCAGAAGGCAAAAUAGUGCUGGAUUCUUUUAGUCAUUAUGUCAUUAUACACAACAACACCAAGUAUCCUUGGUAUCAGAGGAAUGCAGUGCUCAGAUAACAGAAAAAUUGUGAAAGUCGUGUCAACAAAGCUCAUUUGGGGGAUAGAGGAAUGAGGGUUGUGUGUGACACCCUUGGCCUUUCAGCCACAGCCAAAUCUCACGCACUGAAACACCACCAAAACACAACAAAGCCACAGCACAGCAGGCCCAAC